GGCGGAUUAGCUAGUUGGUGGGGUAAAGGCUCACCAAGGCGACGAUCCGUAGCUGGUCUGAGAGGACGACCAGCCACACUGGGACUGAGACACGGCCCAGACUCCUACGGGAGGCAGCAGUGGGGAAUUUUGGACAAUUGGGCGAAAGCCUGAUCCAGCAAUGCCGCGUGUGUGAAGAAGGCCUUCGGGUUGUAAAGCACUUUUGUCCGGAAAGAAAUCCUGAUGGCUAAUAUCCGUCGGGGAUGACGGUACCGGAAGAAUAAGCACCGGCUAACUACAUGCCAGCAGCCGCGGUAAUACGUAGGGUGCAAGCGUUAAUCGGAAUUACUGGGCGUAAAGCGUGCGCAGGCGGUGAUGCAAGACCGAUGUGAAAUCCCCGGGCUUAACCUGGGAACUGCAUUGGUGACUGCAUCGCUAGACGUAUGGCAGAGGGGGGUAGAAUUCCACGUGUAGCAGUGAAAUGCGUAGAGAUGUGGAGGAAUACCGAUGGCUAAGGCAGCCCCCUGGGUCAAUACUGACGCUCAUGCACGAAAGCGUGGGGAGCA
rnacentral:rRNA from 1 species